AUACGUAGGGGGCGAGCGUUGUCCGGAAUGACUGGGCGUAAAGGGCGUGUAGGCGGCGGUGUAAGUCUGGAGUGAAAGUCCCGCAUUCAAUGUGGGAAUUGCUUUGGAUACUGCAGUGCUAGAGUGCGGAAGAGGUAAGUGGAAUUCCCAGUGUAGCGGUGAAAUGCGUAGAGAUUGGGAGGAACACCAGUGGCGAAGGCGACUUAAUGGGCCGUAACUAACGCUGCGGCGCGAAAGCGUGGAGAGCGAACAGGAUUAGAUACCCUGGUAGUCCACGCGGGAAACGAUGAAUGCUAGGUGUUGCGUGUAUCGACCCCUGCAGUGCCGGAGUAAACACAAUAAGCAUUCCGCCUGGGGAGUACGGCUGUAAGGUUGAAACUCAAAUGAAUUGACGGGA
rnacentral:rRNA from 1 species